UUCUGACAGCAAAAAGGUCAUGGAUAAUGAUGAAGAUUGUGAUGACAACAACGAGGACUUUUCUUUACAUGGAAAAGAAUUACCGACAAGGCAUAUCGUUGCAAUUUUAGUCCCCAAGGAAAUCAACGAGCAAGGUCAACAACAUCCGAUCAUUUGACAUGCUUUCUCUAGAGAGUCGCAUCAUUUCAUGUCAACAGGCAAUUCAUCCACCAUAAUACCUCAACUAAGCAGUAGCUUUUUCGAAUUUUCGAAUUUAAUCAACAUUUGGACAAAUCUCCCAGAAUCCCAGCUGCUCUAUGCAUAGGGACAUGACUGGAACCCUUUGGUAAAAGUAGAUACUUCCAUGAGGAUCCCAGUUCUGCUCCGNNNNNNNNNNNNNNNNNNNNAUAUAUAUAUAUAUAUAUAUAUAUAUAUAUAUAUAUAUAUAUAUAUAUGUGUGUGUGUGUGUGUGGACAUGUAUAACCCUCGACAGCAUGCAAUCUUAGUAUAAACAGUAGCAUGACAGGCUACGGAUGAUGUGAUGACGUGUAUAUCUAUUAAAUAUUGCGCCUCUACGAAUGAGGCAGUAGUUAGAAUCUUUGGCUUCUAAACUGUGUCUCAAAGAUAAGUAUGACACCCUAUAUCCAAAUUUAGCACCUUCUUUUUUUUUACAGUCUUCCAAAUCUAGGGGAAUUUCAACAGUUGUUUCCUCGCUGCACGAACAUUCUGGAACCAAUAAUGUAGUGUUUUCUGUCUCCCAAUGGCCUUAUACGCUCAUGGGAGGCCCCUCUCUCCUAUUUUUAAAAAUUGGCUCAAUUCUUCCAUGGAGCUUUAUCAACUUAACAGCUUUCACUUUUCUGACAGCAAAAAGGUCAUGGAUAAUGACAACAACGAGGACUUUUCUUUACAUGGAAAAGAAUUACCGACUAGGCAUAUCGUUGCAAAUUUUGGUCCCCAAGGAAAUCAACAUGGAAGAGCAAGGUCAACAACAUCCGAUCAUUUGACAUUCUUUCUCUAGAGAGUCGCAUCAUUUCAUGUCAACAGGCAAUUCAUCCAUGAUGAUACCUCAACUAAGCAGUAGCUUUUUCGAAUUUAAUCAACAUUUGGACAAAUCUUCCAGAAUCCCAGCUGCUCUAUGCAUAGGGACAUGACUGGAACCCUUUGGUAAAAGUAGAUACUACUUCCAUGAGGAUCCCAGUUCUGCUCCA
rnacentral:lncRNA from 1 species